UACGGAGGGUGCAAGCGUUAUCCGGAUUUACUGGGUUUAAAGGGUGCGUAGGUGGGUAAGUAAGUCAGUGGUGAAAUCUCCGAGCUUAACUCGGAAACUGCCAUUGAUACUAUUUAUCUUGAAUUAUCUGGAGGUAAGCGGAAUAUGUCAUGUAGCGGUGAAAUGCUUAGAUAUGACAUAGAACACCCAUUGCGAAGGCAGCUUACUACAGGAUUAUUGACACUGAGGCACGAAAGCGUGGGGAUCAAACAGG
rnacentral:rRNA from 1 species